UUAAAAUAUAGCAUCAGUUAUUGAUCCAAGAAAUUUGACCAACAGAACAAGUUACCAUAUGGUAACAGCACAAUCCUAUUUGAGAGUCCAUAUCAACAAUAGGGCUUAUGACCUCGAUGUUGGUUCAGGACAUCCCCAUGGUGCAGCAGCUAUUAAAGAUUUGUUCGUUCAACAAUUAAAGUCCUACAUGAUCUGAGUCCCAGCAGGAGCAAUCCAGGUCAGUUUCUAUCUAUUACAACGACGUCUCCCAGUACUAAAGGACAAGAGGAGUAAGGCCUAUUCUAUUGGAAUGCCUUAGAACUAAUAGAGGAUAUAAUCUUAAUAUAACCAGGCCACCCC